rnacentral:rRNA from 1 species
UACGAAGGGGGGCUAGCGUUGUUCGGAAUCACUGGGCGUAAAGGGCGCGUAGGCGGCUUUUCAAGUCGGGGGUGAAAGCCCCGGGCUCAACCUGGGAACCGCGCUUGAGACUGGAGUACUAGAGUUCGGGAGAGGAUGGUGGAAUUCCCAGUGUAGAGGUGAAAUUCGUAGAUAUUGGGAAGAACACCGAUGGCGAAGGCAGCCAUCUGGACCGACACUGACGCUGAGGCGCGAAAGCGUGGGGAGCAAACAGG